rnacentral:tRNA from 1 species
GCUCUUAUGGUGUAUCUCAACACACCUUCUUUUCACGAAGGAAAAGGUAGAGUA